rnacentral:rRNA from 1 species
AUUGAACGCUGGCGGCAGGCCUAACACAUGCAAGUCGAGCGAGCGGCGGACGGGUGAGUAAUGUAUGGGGACUGCCCGAUAGAGGGGGAUAACUACUGGAAACGGUAGCUAAUACCGCAUACUAUCGGAUAACCCAGAUGGGAUUAGCUAGUAGGUGGGGUAAUGGCUACCCAAGGCAACGAUCCGUAGCUGGUUUGCGAGGAGGACCAGCCACACUGGGACUGAGAACCGGCCCAGACUCCUACGGAGGCAGCAGUGGGGAAUUUUCGACAAUGGGGGAAGUCCGGAUGCAGCCAGCCGGCGUGGAUGAUGAAGGCUUUCGGUUUGUAAAGUACUUUUAGCGGGGAGGCGGUACCUGCAGAAUAAGCACCGGCUAACUACGUGCCAGCAGCCGCGGUAAUAC